rnacentral:rRNA from 1 species
AAAGCUCAAAUUUGAAAUCUGGCGCCUUCGGUGUCCGAGUUGUAAUUUGAAGAUUGUAACCUUGGGGUUGGCUCUUGUCUAUGUUUCUUGGAACAGGACGUCACAGAGGGUGAGAAUCCCGUGCGAUGAGAUGCCCAAUUCUAUGUAAGGUGCUUUCGAAGAGUCGAGUUGUUUGGGAAUGCAGCUCUAAGUGGGUGGUAAAUUCCAUCUAAAGCUAAAUAUUGGCGAGAGACCGAUAGCGAACAAGUACAGUGAUGGAAAGAUGAAAAGAACUUUGAAAAGAGAGUGAAAAAGUACGUGAAAUUGUUGAAAGGGAAGGGUUUGAGAUCAGACUCGAUAUUUUGUGAGCCUUGCCUUCGUGGCGGGGUGACCCGCAGCUUAUCGGGCCAGCAUCGGUUUGGGCGGUAGGAUAAUGGCGUAGGAAUGUGACUUUACUUCGGUGAAGUGUUAUAGCCUGCGUUGAUGCUGCCUGCCUAGACCGAGGACUGCGAUUUUAUCAAGGAUGCUGGCAUAAUGAUCCCAAACCGCCCGUCUUG